UUUUUUCUUUUCUUUUUUUUUUUUUUUGAGACAGAGUCUCACUCUGUCGCCCAGGCUGGAGUGCAGUGGCCGGAUCUCAGCUCACUGCAAGCUCCGCCUCCCGGGUUAUGCCAUUCUCCUGCCUCAGCCUCCCGAGUAGCUGGGACUACAGGUGCCCGCCACCUCGCCGGCUAUUUUUUGUAUUUUUUAGCAGAGACGCGGUUUCACUGUGUUAGCCAGGAUGGUCUUGAUCUCCUGACCUCAUGAUCCGCCCGUCUCAGCCUCCCAAAGUGCUGGGAUUACAGGCUUGAGCCACCGCGCCCGGCCAUUUACACAGAGGCAUCUAUAGCAGUUAUCUUCCAGGGUGGAAGCAAGUUUUGUAAUAAUCAUAAAAAACAAGAGGAGAAACAAGGAGCUCUGAAAAGAAGACAGGGUGGUUAUAGAGGUGCUGGGGUAAAAGCAAAGCAAAAGGGUAAGAUAGGAAAGGAGGCCUGGAUUGUUUCUGGGGCAUCCAGGGAAAGGAGUGGCAAGCAGGAAGAGGGCCCUGGACCCUGCACACAGCAGUGCCCCAUUCUGGCGGUGCCAUGAGCACAGACAGGUUUACUGGGUGGGUGGCUCAGUGACUUCUUUCCAGCACUCAACCCAUUUGUCAGUAGUGUACACGUGGAGGGGUCACCCAGAUACAACGGCACAGGCAAAUAAGACACAGUUGUAAGGACGGCAGCCAGUCCCGCAGCUCAUGAGAAGGAAAGAAUCCUUCAGGUCAUGAUCCCCCACCAUUUGUGUUGGUCCCCCUGGCUAGUCCCAGUUCAGCCCUUAUCUCCCCUUCUCAGGCCAACAGGCCCAGAUGAGUAGAACAAGCCUCCCUUGCUGCUCCCUUUGAAACAAGCACCUUCCUUCUCAGCACAGAGGCUGGCAGUGGCUUCCAUUUUAUGCCCAAUGUUUGUCUCCUGUAAGCAUAAACCUUACACCCCAAGAGGUAACACCGAACAGCAGUGCAAGGACAGAACAGUCCCACCCAGGACACAGAGGCAGUUUGCAAGCCAAGAUGUACCCUCCAGAUUCCAUGUGCUUCUGCUCACACCUUUGCACAGCCUCUGCUUGCUUAGUGUAGCGCACACACAGGGAAGCCCAGACGUUUUAGUCACUCAACAAAAGAAAAAAGCCAAAUUCUUUAGUGAGAUAAGAAUUACACAUAUACUUAGACCCAAAUCCCAGACACAUUCCAGCCUCCCAAAGACUAUGGAAUAUACAUAUUAUGUGUCCAUUUCUGUUUUUAUUCAGACUUUCCCCUAACCAAACAAAAAUAAGUACCACUUAGAACUCUAACCAGGUAAUGUUUUAAAAUAUUAUGGCAAAGUACUCCCCACCUACACACACCCACCUUCACUGGCUUGAGUGGUUCAUCACAUUUCAAACAAAUCAUUACCAACUCCCAAGAGAUACCCUCCCCACCCAGCAGUCUGCAGACCACUUGGGAUAAUAGCAGUUUUAUCUGUGGUUACCAUGCUCUCCUACAUGGCCUUAAUUACUUGGAGCUAGCAAAUCUAGACCUAAAUCUACAAUAUGAAGAUACAUCCACAACUUCCUUAUGAAGGCAAUGUGAUAGGGGUCGAGAAAUGUAACAUAGCAAUACAACAAUUCUCAUGAGUUUAGAACUCAAACCUUUAUUUGUGCUGUAAAGUGGAAGAAAAAUGAUUAGUAAUUACGUACAUGACGUAACAGAAUUAGUUCUUACCAUACAGAGCAACACACCAGUACUUUUAACCAUCUACUUUUACAGUUUCAAUUUCACAACAGCAUACCGGAGACUAUUUCCCAUACAUGCAUGAGUAAUACACUCUAAAUCCCAACAACAGGAUGUUUGCAUCAUCCCCAAGUCACUGGUUAAGAACUGAACUACCAUGUCAACAUAUUUUUAAACAUUUAAAAAACGGAACCCAGAAGACAGAAAGAUCCCAAGGAUAAAAAUAACCAUGAUUUUAAAAAUUUUAAGUGAAAUUUAAAGGGAAGAAAGAAAUGAUAAAAGGCCAUUGGUAUUACUUUACCAAUUCAAUACCGCAGCUUAUUACCAAGCAGGUUUUUCAGAUCACACAUGUAGUAAAGGCACCUCACCCACUCCCUCCCCACAAUCCCCAUCCCCUUUCCUUUUUAGCUCUUGUUUUCCACAUGGAUUUUAAGUGAUAGUUUCCCCUCUAGCCUUGGAUCAUUUAUAAAGCACAAACAUUCAAACUAAAACUACAAUAAAUUAUUCAUUCUAACCUUAGCAAAGGUACAUGGAUUCUGUCUGCUACCAAGUAUUAAUUUUACAGUGACCACAAAAGGUUAUUUGGUUCUUGUUACAAAGACUACGAUUUGAAGAUACUAGGUAGGUAAAAAUUUUGCCAUUAUUAAUAUCGACCAAACACAGAAAAGACAACAGAAGUGUUUCUAAGGCACGAUUUACAUACAAAAUUCCCUUGAAAUGCACUGCAAUUUCACUUCACUCACGAUUUUCAAUCACAAGGUAUCUGUGACAAAUGAGUUACAAAUCCAGAGAAGCCCAUCUAAUCUCGUCUUA
rnacentral:lncRNA from 1 species